GAUGAACGCUGGCGGCGUGCCUAAUACAUGCAAGUCGAGCGACCGGACGGGAAGCUUUCUUCUCUGAUGUUAGCGGCUGACGGGCGAGUAACACGUGGAUAACCUACCUAUAAGACUUGGAUAAUUUCGUGAAACCGGAGCUAAUACCGGAUCAUAUUUUGAACCGCAUGGUUCAAAAGUUCAAGACGGUCUUGCUGUCACUUUUAGAUGGAUCCGCGUUGCAUUAGCUAGUUGGUAAGGUAACGGCUUACCAAGGCGACGAUGCAUAGCCGACCUGAGAGGAUGAUCAGCCACACUGGAACUGAGACACGGUCCAGACUCCUACGGGAGGCAGCAGUAGGGAAUCUUGCACAAUGGGCGAAAGCCUGACGGAGCAACGCCGCGUGAGUGAUGAAGGUCUUCGGAUCGUAAAACUCUGUUAUUAGGGAAGAACAGAAGUGUAAGUAAAUGUGCACAUCUUGACGGUACCUAAACAGAAAGCAACGGCUAACUACGUG
rnacentral:rRNA from 1 species